rnacentral:rRNA from 1 species
CCUACGGGCGGCAGCAGUGAGGAAUAUUGGUCAAUGGACGCAAGUCUGAACCAGCCAUGCAGCGUGCAGGAAGACGGCGCUAUGAGUUGUAAACUGCUUUUGUAAGAGGGUAAAUCACGAGACGGGGAUCGGGUGGAAAGUAACGUACGAAUAAGGAGCGGCUAACUCCGUGCCAGCAGCCGCGGUAAUACGGAGGAUUCAAGCGUUAUCCGGAUUUAUUGGGUUUAAAGGGUGCGUAGGCGGUUCGAUAAGUUAGAGGUGAAAUCCCGGGGCUCAACUCCGGCACUGCCUCUGAUACUGUCGGGCUAGAGUUUAGUUGCGGUAGGCGGAAUGUAUGGUGUAGCGGUGAAAUGCAUAGAGAUCAUACAGAACACCGAUUGCGAAGGCAGCUUACCAAACUCCCCCUGACGUUGAGGCACGAACGCGUGGGGAGCAAACAGGAUUAGAUACCCUAGUAGUC